AGCACGUAGGGGGGUUUGUAAUUCAGUUGUGAAACCCUUCUGUUCAAAGGAAGAACGCCUUCUGAAACUCCGAUUCUUGAGUGUAGGAGGGGAGAGUGGAACUUCUGGUGGAGCGGUGAAAUGCGUAGAUAUCAGAAGGAACGUCGGCGGCGAAAGCGACUCUCUGGCCUAUUACUGACACUGAGUGUGCGAAAGUUAGGGGAGCCAACGGGAUUUAAUACCCCGGUA
rnacentral:rRNA from 1 species